GAUGAACGCUGGCGGCGUGCCUAAUACAUGCAAGUCGAGCGAAUGGAUUAAGAGCUUGCUCUUAUGAAGUUAGCGGCGGACGGGUGAGUAACACGUGGGUAACCUGCCCAUAAGACUGGGAUAACUCCGGGAAACCGGGGCUAAUACCGGAUAACAUUUUGAACCGCAUGGUUCGAAAUUGAAAGGCGGCUUCGGCUGUCACUUAUGGAUGGACCCGCGUCGAAUUAGCUAGUUGGUGAGGUAACGGCUCACCAAGGCAACGAUGCGUAGCCGACCUGAGAGGGUGAUCGGCCACACUGGGACUGAGACACGGCCCAGACUCCUACGGGAGGCAGCAGUAGGGAAUCUUCCGCAAUGGACGAAAGUCUGACGGAGCAACGCCGCGUGAGUGAUGAAGGCUUUCGGGUCGUAAAACUCUGUUGUUAGGGAAGAACUAGUGCUAGUUGAAUAAGCUGGCACCUUGACGGUACCUAACCAGAAAGCCACGGCUAGCUACGUGCCAGCCGCCGCCGUAA
rnacentral:rRNA from 1 species